CAGCCGCCAGCCGCCAGCUUCGAUUAGGCUGUGCGGGAGGCGGGAGGCGGGAGGCUAAA
rnacentral:misc_RNA from 1 species